rnacentral:rRNA from 1 species
GAUUGUAAAGCUCUUUUGGCGGGGACGAUAAUGACGUACCCGCAGAAUAAGCCCCGGU